rnacentral:lncRNA from 10 species
UUGUGAGAGAGGUCUAAAGAUAGAAGACAUGAAAGAGAUUCAGAGCUGCAGAAGAUGCUCUCCUGUUGUUCUGCAAGGGGCAGACUGCCAUAUGUGAGAGGCUCUAUGGAGAGGCCACACAGGAAGCAAGGACCUGCAUGCAGCCUCCAGGAGCUGAGAGCGGUCCCUGGCCAAAAGCUGGCAAGGAAUUGGAGACCUCAGUCCUACUGCCAUAAGGACAUGCAUCCUGCCAACAACCAGGGAUCUUGGAAUGAGAACAUAAGCCUCAGAUGAGAUGGCAGUCCCAGGUGACACCUUGAUUUCAGCCUGCUUCACCAUGAGAUGGCCUUGAGGAUAGAAGUUGCGUACUAAGAUGAUGGAGCAGACAGAUGAAACCUUGUACUAAGAUGAUGGAGCAGACAGAUGAAAGAUGGAGGCCUUGGUGAAAGGCAGGUCCCUGGCAAUACUAUGAAGUUGUCAAACCAGCACUGCAAUAGUUACUUCCAAACAUAUGAGAGAGAAAUAAACAUAUCUUGCUUACAACUUUUUAAAUUUUUU